AUGAACGCUGGCGGCGUGCUUAACACAUGCAAGUCGAACGAUGAACUCCAGCUUGCUGGGGGGAUUAGUGGCGAACGGGUGAGUAACACGUGAGUAACCUGCCCUUGACUCUGGGAUAAGCGUUGGAAACGACGUCUAAUACCGGAUACGAGCUUCAGCCGCAUGGCUAGGAGUUGGAAAGAAUUUUGGUCAAGGAUGGACUCGCGGCCUAUCAGGUAGUUGGUGAGGUAACGGCUCACCAAGCCGACGACGGGUAGCCGGCCUGAGAGGGUGACCGGCCACACUGGGACUGGGACACGGCCCAGACUCCUACGGGAGGCAGCAGUGGGGAAUAUUGCACAAUGGGCGAAAGCCUGAUGCAGCAACGCCGCGUGAGGGGCGACGGCCUUCGGGUUGUAAACCUCUUUUAGUAGGGAAGAAGCGAGAGUGACGGUACCUGCAGAAAAAGCACCGGCUAACUACGU
rnacentral:rRNA from 1 species